CUUUCCAAUAACUCCCUCUCUUUCGUUUCAAUUCACGAAAACUCUCGGUCUCCCUCUCUUUGAUUGCUAUAUCUUUCUGUUUCUCUCCAUCGAUCUCUCUCUUGCUCAAUCAACAACAACCUUCGGUCUCCCUAUGUUUUCAUCGUUCUCCAUGACUCAAACAGCAAAAACCAGAAACAUUCUCAUGUCAUCAAAACCCUAGAGUUUCAAAAUUAGAUUAAAUAGCAAUGGAGUGCAAGUUCAAUCGAAUAUCAUGGGGGCUAUUACCGAUCAAGUCUCGAUGAACACAGUGGUAUUUUAAAAAAAAGCGAAGAAGGAGAUCUUACACGGUCGGAGCUUGUCCGACGAGACUUCCUUUUCCGGCGGUGGUUCAGUAACUCGGGUAAGCCUUUGUGGUCCCACCUUUCUUCUUAUGUCUUCGAAAUUUAGUGUUGUUGAUGAAUAUCUUGAACUGUUGUUAAUACUUCGAUUUCAUUUUGUUGUUGGAGUUGAGUUGCAAUCGUUUUACUUCUGCUGGUCUGGUUCAUUGCAGGUGAGGUGAUGAAGAGGUGAUGAAGAAGAUGAGUUCAAUGGCUCAUUGAAUCAUUUAAUUGAUGCUGCAGCUUUUUCAAUUGGUUUGUUGGAUGUGGCUGCUAUGGUGCUGUUUGUGUAUGAAGAUUUUCUACAUUUGGGAAAGGCUCUACAGAGAGUAUGAUCUCUCCUUGGUGCAGGGUAUGUUUGAAGAGAGUUUUGGAGAGAUUUUAUUGUGAAAUUCUGUGAAGACUCAACAGAAAAUCAAGGCAGCCCUUUAAUUAAAGCAAGUCUUGCUUUAUGAGCAAGUUUUAUGGUACAGAUUUUCCCUUCCAACGGCAGGAUAUUUAAAGGCAUAUUCCUUUAGUUUCUACUAGAUCAACUUAUAUUGGCAUUGCAUAUUUUUCUCGAGACAUUAUGUCAUUCUAUAUAAAUAGCAUAUAUCUGUGGACAGUUCAGUACCUCAAAGACUAUUAAACAUUUGUCAAUACUGAUCGCUACUGGACAAAAAGUUUUGCCAAGACUUCAUCUCGUUGAAUUGAAUAUAAGAUAAUUAUAACUUCUACCAGUUGGCUUAAUCAUUUUGGUCCUCCACAUUCAAUAUAUGACAUAAUAGAAAUGGUGGAUUUGCAUCCUAUGAGCUCACAAGAUCUUAUGCAUGGCUAGAGAAACUAAAUCCAACUGAAACAUUUGAAGAUAUCACCAUUGAUUAUCAGUAUGAUGAUAUAUGUAUGUAAUAUACUAGUUGUUGAUGGAUUGAAAGGGAAUGAAUUUCCCUUCAGUCAUACUACUUGUGCUAUUUAUUCUUGUAAAUGCAUUUAAUUAUCCCAUUUCUUAUUAAUUUAAGUUGACAGCGACAAGAUCAAACCUCCAGUAUUGGAAGGAAUUGAUGCACUAGUAAGCAGUACGCAGUGUUUUCUAUAUCACGAUGCUGUAUCAAUUAGAUUGUAUAUUAUUUAUGUUGAUUUGUUGUCUCAUUGUUUUUAUUAAAAUACAAAGAGUCUGACAAUAAAUGCACAACCCGAUGUAUUUGGUUAGACAUGCUAUAAUAUUUGUAA